rnacentral:rRNA from 1 species
CCUACGGGAGGCAGCAGUGGGGAAUUUUGGACAAUGGGCGAAAGCCUGAUCCAGCAAUGCCGCGUGAGUGAAGAAGGCCUUCGGGUUGUAAAGCUCUUUUGUCAGGGAAGAAACGGUGUUUUCUAAUACAGAAUGCUAAUGACGGUACCUGAAGAAUAAGCACCGGCUAACUACGUGCCAGCAGCCGCGGUAAUACGUAGGGUGCAAGCGUUAAUCGGAAUUACUGGGCGUAAAGCGUGCGCAGGCGGUUUUGUAAGUCUGACGUGAAAUCCCCGGGCUCAACCUGGGAAUUGCGUUGGAGACUGCAAGGCUAGAGUUUGGCAGAGGGGGGUAGAAUUCCACGUGUAGCAGUGAAAUGCGUAGAUAUGUGGAGGAACACCGAUGGCGAAGGCAGCCCCCUGGGUCAAGACUGACGCUCAUGCACGAAAGCGUGGGGAGCAAACAGGAUUAGAUACCCUGGUAGUCCACGCCCUAAACGAUGUCUACUAGUUGUCGGGUCUUAAUUGACUUGGUAACGCAGCUAACGCGUGAGUAGACCGCCUGGGGAGUACGGUCGCAAGAUUAAAACUUAAAUGAAUUGACCGG